GCCAGCAUGGUGUAGUGGUUUGGAUGCUGGACUAAGAUUCUUGAGAACAGGGUUUGAAUCCCUGCUCAGCCA